rnacentral:rRNA from 1 species
GAGUUUGAUCAUGGCUCAGAAUCAACGCUGGCGGCGUGCCUAACACAUGCAAGUCGAACGCGAAAACCCCGCAAGGGGUGAGUAGAGUGGCAAACGGAUGAGUAACGCGUGGGUGACCUGCCUUCGAGCGGGGGAUAACGUUCCGAAAGGGACGCUAAUACCGCAUAACAUCCUGCCUUUGAAGAGGUGGCGAUCAAAGCUGGGGAUUCGCAAGAACCCGGCACUUGAAGAGGGGCCCGCGUCUGAUUAGCUAGUUGGUGAGGUAACGGCUCACCAAGGCAACGAUCAGUAUCCGGCCUGAGAGGGCGGACGGACACACUGGGACUGAGACACGGCCCAGACUCCUACGGGAGGCAGCAGUGGGGAAUUGUUCGCAAUGGGCGCAAGCCUGACGACGCAACGCCGCGUGGAGGAUGAAGAUUUUCGGAUCGUAAACUCCUGUCGAAUGGGACGAAAAGGUCACGGUUUAAUAUCCCGUGAUCCUGACGGUACCGUUAAAGGAAACCCCGGCUAACUACCGUGCCAGCCGCCGCAGUAAC